rnacentral:lncRNA from 1 species
CUUCGGUAUUGUCUCAGUUGCAGGGACUCUCACUGAAAGCCACAACCCCCCAGCUGCAAUCUCCUCAAUUGCAAUCCCCAACUGGGCUUCAGAUGCGGCAGAACAUGAACCAACAGCGGGCGAGCUACCCGACCAAGACCACUGUCACCUCCUCUCCAGUGAGGAAAACCUCCUCAUAUGGGUUUGAUUCAUCAGCUGCAGUAGCAGCAGCAGUGAUGAAUUCAAGGUCUUCUGCUUUCGCAAAGCGCAGCCAGAGCUUCAUCGAUAGGGGAGGUAUGAGCCAUCGCUCACCUGGGUUCACUGCAGCUUCUAAUUCUGCAACCUUGAUGUCAUCCAAUCUUUCUGACUGGAGCUCCCCUGAUGGGAAACUGGAUUGGGGCAUUCAAGGAGAUGAACUCAACAAGCUGAAGAAGUCUGCCUCUUUCGGAUUCCGAACCAACAACACUGCAACAGCAACACAAUCCAUGAUGGCCUCAACUGAUGAACCAGAUGUAUCUUGGGUUAAUUCCCUAGUCAAGGAUGUUCCUGCUGUCUCAUCUGGGCUGUUUGGUUCCCAGCAACGGCCAUACGGCAUUGGGGUUCAUGAGAAGCUCCCUCCAU